AUGAACGCUGGCGGCGUGCUUAACACAUGCAAGUCGAGCGAAGCAGUUAAGAAGAUUCUUCGGAUGAUUUUUAACUGACUGAGCGGCGGACGGGUGAGUAACGCGUGGGUGACCUGCCCCAUACCGGGGGAUAACAGCUGGAAACGGCUGCUAAUACCGCAUAAGCGCACAGAGCUGCAUGGCUCGGUGUGAAAAACUCCGGUGGUAUGGGAUGGGCCCGCGUCUGAUUAGGCAGUUGGCGGGGUAACGGCCCACCAAACCGACGAUCAGUAGCCGGCCUGAGAGGGCGACCGGCCACAUUGGGACUGAGACACGGCCCAAACUCCUACGGGAGGCAGCAGUGGGGAAUAUUGCACAAUGGGGGAAACCCUGAUGCAGCGACGCCGCGUGAGCGAAGAAGUAUUUCGGUAUGUAAAGCUCUAUCAGCAGGGAAGAUAAUGACGGUACCUGACUAAGAAGCCCCGGCUAACUACGUGCCAGCAGCCGCGGUAAUACGUAGGGGGCAAGCGUUAUCCGGAUUUACUGGGUGUAAAGGGAGCGUAGACGGCAAGGCAAGUCUGAUGUGAAAACCCAGGGCUUAACCCUGGGACUGCAUUGGAAACUGUCUGGCUCGAGUGCCGGAGAGGUAAGCGGAAUUCCUAGUGUAGCGGUGAAAUGCGUAGAUAUUAGGAAGAACACCAGUGGCGAAGGCGGCUUACUGGACGGUAACUGACGUUGAGGCUCGAAAGCGUGGGGAGCAAACAGGAUUAGAUACCCUGGUAGUCCACGCCGUAAACGAUGAAUGCUAGGUGUUGGGGAGCAAAGCUCUUCGGUGCCGCCGCAAACGCAUUAAGCAUUCCACCUGGGGAGUACGUUCGCAAGAAUGAAACUCAAAGGAAUUGACGGGGGCCCGCACAAGCAGUGGAGUAUGUGGUUUAAUUCGAUGCAACGCGAAGAACCUUACCAGGGCUUGACAUAUAGAGGAAUAUAUAAGAGAUUAUAUAGCUCUUCGGAGUCUCUAUACAGGUGGUGCAUGGUUGUCGUCAGCUCGUGUCGUGAGAUGUUGGGUUAAGUCCCGCAACGAGCGCAACCCUUAUCCUCAGUAGCCAGCAGGUAAAGCUGGGCACUCUGUGGAGACUGCCAGGGAUAACCUGGAGGAAGGUGGGGAUGACGUCAAAUCAUCAUGCCCCUUAUGAUCUGGGCUACACACGUGCUACAAUGGCGUAAACAAAGGGAGGCAAAGCCGCGAGGUGGAGCAAAUCCCAAAAAUAACGUCUCAGUUCGGACUGCAGUCUGCAACUCGACUGCACGAAGCUGGAAUCGCUAGUAAUCGCGAAUCAGAAUGUCGCGGUGAAUACGUUCCCGGGUCUUGUACACACCGCCCGUCACACCAUGGGAGUUGGUAACGCCCGAAGUCAGUGACCCAACCGUUUACGGAGGGAGCUGCCGAAGGCGGGACUGAUAACUGGGGUG
rnacentral:rRNA from 1 species